rnacentral:tRNA from 1 species
AAAUGUGAAGCAAAAAUUGCAACUAAUUUCGACCUAGUAGUAGGUGUAAAUAAUCACCCUCAUUUU